rnacentral:rRNA from 1 species
GACGAACGCUGGCGGCGUGCCUAAUACAUGCAAGUAGAACGCAGUUGCGAACGGGUGAGUAACGCGUAGGUAACUGCCUGGUAGCGGGGGAUGACUAUUGGAAACGAUAGCUAAUACCGCAUACUACCAGCUGGACCUGAGUUGUAUUAGCUAGUUGGGGAGGUAACGGCUCACCAAGGCAACGAUACAUAGCCGACCUGGUAGGGUGAUCGGCCCAACUGGGACUGGGAAAAUGCCCAGACUCCUACGGGAGGCAGCAGUAGGGAAUCUUCGGCAAAUGGGGGAACCCUGACCGAGCAACGCCGCGUGAGUGAAGAAGGUUUUCGGAUCGUAAAGCUCUGUUGUUAAGGAAGCGGUACUUAACCAGAAAGGGACGGCUAACUACGUGCCAGCAGCCGCGGUAAUUC